GACGAACGCUGGCGGCGUGCUUAACACAUGCAAGUCGAACGGAAAGGCCCUGCUUUCGUGGGGUGCUCGAGUGGCGAAAGGGUGUGUCACAUGGGUGUAACCUGCCCUAGACUUUGGGAUAACUUCAGGAAACUGGGGAUAAUACCGGAUAGGCGCUUUUGAUGCAUGGGGGGGGUUGGAAAGUUUGGGGGGGUGGGGUCGGACUGGCGGGUUAUCGGCGUGUUGGUGGGGUAGUGGCUUACCAAGGGUCUGACGGGUGGCCGGCCGGGGAGGGGGGCCGGCCACAUGGGGACGAGGAUACGGCCCGGCCUCCAACGGGGGGCAACGGUGGGAAAUUUUGCACAGUGGCCGGAAGCCGGAGGCGGCAACGCCGGGUGCGGGAUGACGGCCUUCGGGUUGUAAACCGCUUUCGCCUGUGCCGAAGCGUGAGUGACGGUAAUGGGUGAAGAAGCACCGGCUAACUACGUG
rnacentral:rRNA from 1 species